UCUCAAAGGGGGGUACGUUUACCACUAGGGGUAUUAUAGAGGACUGCAGGGGGUACGUGUACCACUAGGGGUACUAUAGAGGACUGCAGGGGGUACGUGUACCCCUAGGGGUACUAUAGAGGACUGCAGGGGGUACGUGUACCCCUAGGGGUACUAUAGAGGACUGCAGGGUUAAUAUCAGUCAUAU